ensembl:lncRNA
CCCCAUUCUCUCUCUCGCUCUCUCUUUCUCUCUCUCUCUUCUCCUACUCUGUCACUCUCUCUCUCCCAAAAUGAAUGAAUAAAUGGACGUUAUCAAAAUCACUCUAACAUAUAAGUAGAUGAUAAUUCAUUGAGUAAAAUUGACUCAAAAAUGUUGGAAAAAUGACGUUUUAGCUGUCUCCUAUUAAACAUGUGAUUAAAUAAAUACUUUAUUUACACUUCAAAAAUGCACCCGAAGGACUGCCACAAUCUGCACUUUCAAAUAUUUAAUCUUUUAAAACGUACAACUCAGCAGUAUUGAUUUCUGUUGCUACAUACAAUUAUUUUUCUUCAAAGAUGCAUCUACUGUAACAGAUAGCCACAAAGAACACAGAGCAUCUUUGUAAAUGGCAAAAAAAAAAAAAAAAAAAACAUUUGUAAAAGUAAGAGUCAGUGCAGUUCCACAGUGAGCUGUUGGGAUGGUCCUGAGUCCUGAUUCGACUGCUGGUGUUUGUGUCUUUGAAUUGGUUCUGUUGUGUCCAAGGAAAGAGUUCUGCAUGGCUGGUCUUGCUGACAGCUAAUUGUCACGAGCAUGUCAGGCAUCGUCACUUGUUUAUGUAUGUGUGUGGACUUGAGAUAUACCACCUCGUUUGGCAGCCAUGCCUUGCGGUGGCAUCACAGUGGAUGCACAACCUGCAAUGGAUGUGAUACAUGUCAAAGAAAAACAAUAACCUGUUAUCAUUUGAAUGGGAAAUCACAUCUUUUUUUUGUUGUGUUAAGACUAGUAUAGUUGGCUGCAAAGUUUCCCAUAUCUUUGAUGGAUACAAUUCUAAAUCCUGUGUCGCACAGAAACAGCAGGAAUCUUGACAGAUCUCUUCUCAAGUUUCAUGAACAGCAUGAGUGGGCUAUCUAUGUUUCUCUGUUCACACACUUACACACCCACACACACACACAAACCACUGGUGCUAGAAAUUGUACCCUUGAACUUGUCAGAAAGCACUGUUCGUACCUGUAAAUGUGUGUAAAUGGGAAAAAAGGCAUAUUGCUCUCCUGUGUUUGCACUUUUCGUACUCAGUUCACCAUCAUGACUGAACUGCCAAGAAAAUAGUCUUUGUUGUAAAAAGUGUUAAAGGCCUCAAAUCAUGCAUGAAUAUUGGAUCUGUGUGGUGCUCCCACCACUUGCCUGCCCUCUCCCCCACUAAACAUUUGUCUCUCGGAAUGAAACAGUUCACCUGAAAUAUUUCUGUCAUGUAUGAAAGUUGCACCAUAAAACAUGAUGUCGAACACAGACUAUUCAUCUAGUAAGUUGCUGGUGGAGAGAACUAUUACUGACAGUACGGCGUACCGUGAGUUGUAUAAAAAAAAAGCCCAGUUAUUGUGGAGAACCGGACUCACUGGUUGAACCCUUCCCCUCUCCCACGUUUGGUGUGACACAAGCGACCAGUUACGGAGCCAGUGAGCGAGUCAGGCCGCGAGGUUCGUGGAGAAGCAAACAUGCAGCGUGCGCUCUGGUGCCCGACUGUGUCCCACACGCUCUGGGAGUCCACCGCAGGGGCUCCGCAUGGGGCCCGAGCCGAGCAGGAGCCUCUGACGAGAUGGCAGAGGGGUAGAGAGGACAGGGAUUAGCAGUUUAUGUAAGAUAUGAACUGCAGCGCUGGUUUUCUGGUGGGUGCCUCUCUCACUCUCACUCCCCCUCUUUCUCUCUCUCUCUUUCUCUCUCUCUCUCUCUCCUUUUCUCACUCUUUCUUUCCAACAGCUGUUUGUGGGAGGCUGACUGAUGUCUCCCAUUCCUGCUCCGUCCCAACAGCACCGUGCCGUGUGUGUAAAGGAGAUGAGUUCAGCUGGGUGCCAGAAAACCUGUCUGCUCUGCCACCCAAUCACCCAAGAGAAUUAGACAUGCACGCACACCCACACACACACACACACACACACACACACACACACACACACACACAAACACACAGCACAAACAUACUGAUCAUCACAGAUGAAUUACCUACGGGAGGCACUAGGACCCGAGACAAACGAUCCCUGAGAGAGUCAAUGGGGGCCAGCUGGCAGACACAGAUUUCUCUCCCUGAUCGGGGCGGCUGCAGACAUAACGUGCAUUUCAGCGAGCGAGAGAGCAAGUCGGCGCGGGGUCUUUGUGCCCCCCCCCCCCCCUUCCCA